UGAGUAACCUGCCCUUUACUCUGGGAUAACUCCGGGGAAACCGGGGCUAAUACUGGAUAUGACUCGAACAGGCAUCUGUUUCGGGUGGAAAGAUUUAUUGGUGGAGGAUGGACUCGCGGCCUAUCAGCUUGUUGGUGAGGUAAUGGCUCACCAAGGCGACGACGGGUAGCCGGCCUGAGAGGGCGAUCGGCCACACUGGGACUGAGACACGGCCCAGACCUCCGUACGGGAGCA
rnacentral:rRNA from 1 species